rnacentral:piRNA from 1 species
UCCUAGAGGUCUGACAGAAUACUGUCUUUGGG